CAACCCUCAAACCCUCGGGUUUGGUGUUGGGGAUCGGAUUGCUAGUCAAUCCGUCUCCGAAAUCUAGUGGCGGUCUCGCUGCAGCCUCCAUUGCGUAGUAGCUAACACCUCGCAACUGGAACGCGGCGCGGCCAUGCCGUUAAACACCCAACUUCUGAA
rnacentral:misc_RNA from 1 species